rnacentral:misc_RNA from 1 species
AAAGUCGUAACAAGGUUUCCGUAGGUGAACCUGCGGAAGGAUCAUUAAUAACGUAUCCACGUUUUUAUAACCUUUCAACCAACCCGUGAACGUUUGUGCGAGGCAACUCGUGCAGACAUUUUAUUACUCCAUUUUUACCAAAACACAUUGUACACUACAAAUUGUCUGAACAACGGAGAUUGAAAGAGCGCAGUUUAACGACUGCUGUUUUGGAAAUCUUUGCUUUAUUGCAAAAACUUAAAAAACAACUCUUAGCAACGGAUAUCUUGGUUCUC